GACUUCAUUAAUCGUUUAGAAGCGCAUCCAACGAUGUGAGAGCAGAAGGGGAGCAAGCAUGUGAGUGCAGAAGACUUAGCUGCUUGAACAAGAAUGACUGUUGCAGGGCGUUCUACAUGUUUUUGGCUUUCAACAUUUUUGCUUCGAGACUUUGCUGCUUGAACAAGAACGAAACACCAUCUUAACUGCAAGGCAAAAUACGUGUGGACUGGAUGUUACUUCCGUUUCUUACUGAAACAGGCGUCUUGCAUGUUUUUUGCUUUGCACGUUUGUGCUUGAAAACUUUGAUGCUAGAAUAAGAACGAAACAGUUUUUAUGUUGCCUAACCUAUAGGAUAUAUAUUUUGCCACAUUGACUAUAGGGGCAAGAUUUGUGUGAACUGUAUGUUACUUCUGUUUAUUAGGGAACCAAAACGUUCAGUUUCGUCCUGUUCAUUAUACAAUGUCUUUUCAUGUCAACUCAGUUGAAUGUAUAUAAAAACGAAGCUGCAUAUCGUACUGACCUCA